CAAACAUUGGCUUGAAUCCAUUUCUAUCACGAAAUCACGAAUUUUCAAUCACAAUAUCGAGCAAAUAUUCGAGGUUAAUUUAAAACUUCCUGAACUUGUUUUUAUUACAUUAAGCGGUCUGACCACUCCAACCUGCCCGCAUGAUCAGUGCAGUGUAGUAAUCGCAAAUAAUGGCGUUGAUGAAGAUGGUGCGUUGUGUAAUUGGAUUUGCUUCCCUUCAAUCGACUGAUUUCUCUGCACAGCGUUAUGGCGAACAUAUUGUAGGUACGGGACCGUGUAGUUCGGUUACGAGGUGUGAAAGUAUGUGAGAGUGCUCGGUGCUGAUGUAAUCAAAAUUUUCCAAAAGUACCUACCCAUCUCAAUUUGAUGGUACGGAGACGACCGCACUAGUGUAUGAUCACUCGUGGCAAAAAUGGACUUGUUCACGGAAAAAGAAAUAAUAGGACAGCCCGUGGAUGAUACAUAUAUAUUGCAACAGGUGCCCUCAGGUAGCUCUUCUUCGGUUUUCUUCAGCAGACCAGCAGCGAACAGGUUGCUGUCGCCCCGUCCGAACUUUUGUCUGGUAGUAGCUAUUUGCUGUUGAUGGUGUUGUUGUUGAGCGUGGGAAGGUGCACUGGACUAGAACGCGGCACUAUCAUGCAUUCCGCUAGUGCUGAUGGUGUGGGAGCAGAAAUGCUGUUCAUAUUUAUAUCCGCCGGAGAGGGAGGCAACCGACCGUUGCAAAGCUGGUUCCAACCAAAGGCGUAAGCUUAUUCCGAUAAAACCAUUUGGCAGAAUCACACAAACUGUCAAAGAAAAUUUGGAGCAAACAGAUAUCCAGUGAAACUGACAGCUGCAAAGAUAGCAUAACCCUGUCGUUAAAGGAGGAGAGAGACUCGAGAGCGGCAGAAAGUGCUUCAUAUCGUGGUCUCAGUUCAACGAUGAUUUGAUUGAUGCCUU